GACGAACGCUGGCGGCGUGCUUAACACAUGCAAGUCGAACGGAAAGGCCCUGCUUUUGUGGGGUGCUCGAGUGGCGAACGGGUGAGUAACACGUGAGUAACCUGCCCUUGACUUUGGGAUAACUUCAGGAAACUGGGGCUAAUACCGGAUAGGAGCUCCUGCUGCAUGGUGGGGGUUGGAAAGUUUCGGCGGUUGGGGAUGGACUCGCGGCUUAUCAGCUUGUUGGUGGGGUAGUGGCUUACCAAGGCUUUGACGGGUAGCCGGCCUGAGAGGGGGACCGGCCACAUUGGGACUGAGGUACGGCCCAGACUCCUACGGGAGGCAGCAGUGGGGAAUAUUGCACAAUGGGCGGAAGCCUGAUGCAGCAACGCCGCGUGCGGGAUGACGGCCUUCGGGUUGUAAACCGCUUUCGCCUGUGACGAAGCGUGAGUGACGGUAAUGGGUAAAGAAGCACCGGCUAACUACGUG
rnacentral:rRNA from 1 species